rnacentral:rRNA from 1 species
AAAUUGAAGAGUUUGAUCAUGGCUCAGAUUGAACGCUGGCGGCAGGCCUAACACAUGCAAGUCGAACGGUAACAGGAAGCAGCUUGCUGCUUUGCUGACGAGUGGCGGACGGGUGAGUAAUGUCUGGGAAACUGCCUGAUGGAGGGGGAUAACUACUGGAAACGGUAGCUAAUACCGCAUAACGUCGCAAGACCAAAGAGGGGGACCUUCGGGCCUCUUGCCAUCAGAUGUGCCCAGAUGGGAUUAGCUAGUAGGUGGGGUAACGGCUCACCUAGGCGACGAUCCCUAGCUGGUCUGAGAGGAUGACCAGCCACACUGGAACUGAGACACGGUCCAGACUCCUACGGGAGGCAGCAGUGGGGAAUAUUGCACAAUGGGCGCAAGCCUGAUGCAGCCAUGCCGCGUGUAUGAAGAAGGCCUUCGGGUUGUAAAGUACUUUCAGCGGGGAGGAAGGCGAUGCGGUUAAUAACCGCGUCGAUUGACGUUACCCGCAGAAGAAGCACCGGCUAACUCCGUGCCAGCAGCCGCGGUAAUACGGAGGGUGCAAGCGUUAAUCGGAAUUACUGGGCGUAAAGCGCACGCAGGCGGUCUGUCAAGUCGGAUGUGAAAUCCCCGGGCUCAACCUGGGAACUGCAUCCGAAACUGGCAGGCUUGAGUCUCGUAGAGGGGGGUAGAAUUCCAGGUGUAGCGGUGAAAUGCGUAGAGAUCUGGAGGAAUACCGGUGGCGAAGGCGGCCCCCUGGACGAAGACUGACGCUCAGGUGCGAAAGCGUGGGGAGCAAACAGGAUUAGAUACCCUGGUAGUCCACGCCGUAAACGAUGUCGACUUGGAGGUUGUGCCCUUGAGGCGUGGCUUCCGGAGCUAACGCGUUAAGUCGACCGCCUGGGGAGUACGGCCGCAAGGUUAAAACUCAAAUGAAUUGACGGGGGCCCGCACAAGCGGUGGAGCAUGUGGUUUAAUUCGAUGCAACGCGAAGAACCUUACCUGGUCUUGACAUCCACAGAACUUUCCAGAGAUGGAUUGGUGCCUUCGGGAACUGUGAGACAGGUGCUGCAUGGCUGUCGUCAGCUCGUGUUGUGAAAUGUUGGGUUAAGUCCCGCAACGAGCGCAACCCUUAUCCUUUGUUGCCAGCGGU